ACAUGACCACGAUCACUGCCAUGGGGAGGUAGAAGGAGCAUACGGAAGAGAAGAUCGCAUAGCCCACCUCCUCGGUGAUGCCGCAGAAACGCUCAUCCGGGGGCACUGGUUCCUUCCAACCUAGUAGCGGUCCCACAGAUACCACCAAGGCCACCGCCCAGAGCAGAGCCAGAAUGGCAGCGGCCUUGCGUUCUGUCAUAAUGGCUGGAUACUUGAGCGAGUGGCGCACACCCACGUACCGGUCCACAGAGAUGGUGCAGAGGCUAAGGAUGGAGGCAGUGCAGCAUAGCACGUCCACCGCGGCCCAUACGUCGCAGAAGGUCCGGCCGAAGGCCCAGAAGCCUAGAACCUCCAUAGUGGCUGAGAAGGGCAACACAGCUGCACUCAGUAGCAGGUCAGCCACUGCUAGGUUCACGAUGAAAUAGUUGGUGACCGUCUGCAAGUGGCGGUUGCAGGCCACGGAGAGGAUGACGAGAAGGUUGCCCGCCACAGCGGUGAGGAUGAAGGCGGCUAGGAAGACACCCACUCCCACGCCCUGAGCACUCACCACUAGCCCCCCGACGGCCGCCGAGCCAUUCACCUCGCCGCUUGCCGCGGCCCCCGCUUCUGCCGUGGAGCUCUGGUUGUCCUCGCCGCUGCCGGUUCCCACCACAGCGCUACCGCCUGUGGCACCCGGCACGCCGCCCACCGCCGGACCCUCGGGGCCAACCGUGCCAGCUCCGCCGCCCGCGCCGGAGCCCCCAGUGCUACUGCUCGCCCGGGGUCCUUCGAAAGUGACGCUCAGGAUGUCGCGGAAAGUCAUCUCACGGCGCAGCCGUCGGGGCCCGAGCCCAGGCACAGGGCGAGCAAGUGGCGGGGAGGGAGCCCGCGGGCAUCGCCGCAGCGCCCGAGCCAGCCCCGCGCGCCGGUCCCGUCGGUCCUGCCCAAGUUCCCGCGGCAGAGGGGCCGCAGGGGAGCGGUGCUGCAGGGAGAGCGGGGCGGAGGUCACCAGGCCGUGAAGGUCCCAACGGGAACGGGCUCUGGCGGUGGCUGCAGAGUCACAAGAAAACAAGGGCCGGGGCCGGCUCCCUGCUCCCUGCUCCCCUCUCCAAGCGUGUCCUGGCGAGCGGUGGCUCCUCCGGGAGCGUCAGUGCAGGCGGCGGCCUCUGCAGCGCAGGGGACUCUGCGCGGGGGCGGGACGGAGGAGGGGCGGCGGGGAGGGAGGAGGGGGCGGCCGGCGCGAGCCAGCGAAGGGGCUCCGCGCGUCCAGCGGCUGCGGGGGUCCUCGCCGGUGCUCACGACCGUCCUCUGCCCUAGCUGUCCCCUUAUCCUCCUUUCCUCAGCUCUCCUGCACCCCGGCUUUUGCCCCAGCGCUCCUCGCUGCCUCCCUUCCUCUCUCUGGACUUGCGGUCACUCUCUGCUUGCCCUUGCCCUAGCGGAGCAUACAAGGUGCGAUUCCCCGGGACUCCGGGCUCCCGGCUUCUGCCGCCAGAGAGCAGCAAGAGCCCAGGAUCUGUGGGUUCAGGGCUGGAUGAUUUAAAAAAAACGCUGCCACUUGAGAACGUCUGGAUGCGGUUUGAUGCCCCUCCUCUUUUUUCUAGGGCAACUGGCCAGCCCAAGAUCUCAAAACCCACUAUGGUGCGAUGGUGGCAUUGAGACAGCCCUGAAGGGGUCAAGAUGCUUGGGCGCGGGUUGAAGAUGGGCGUGACUGGCGUGAGACCAGAUGGUGUGGUCACAGCCCUAGGACUUUGCCCGUACUCUGAAUAAUACCAACUUUGGCCCUGCAACUCUACUCUGCAUCAGAAGUCAGAAUAAAUCUUCCUGUUGCUACUCGAAGU
rnacentral:lncRNA from 1 species